rnacentral:lncRNA from 1 species
UUAACUAUUGUAGCACUGGAGAUUCUUGUAUUAUAGAAACAUCUAACUUUGGUGUUUAAUCUGUUGGAUUUAAUCUGACUUCAGUGAAAUAUCGUGGUAUUGCAUAUCAAUGGCCUAAAUAUCCAAAGUGAGAAAAAAAGGGUUUUCUUCUAUUGAUUUUGAAUUUGCAUCUCUCUAUUAUCACUCCUCAUCCUUGUGUUACAAAACAAGGAGAACAGAAGCACUAGAUCUACAUUCUCUAAACCAGCCGUGGUUUCACAAACUUUUAUCAUGUUCCAGAGGAAGCUGUGCUAUUGUUUUAUACAAUGCAAGUAGUACCACAGUACUUCAAACAGUUCUGUGAAAUGCAGUUCCUUCUAUUUCUGCUGUUAUCAUUUCCUAGGACAUUAGAAAAGAUCCUGAGUCCAAAAGGUUGGAUUAAGAUCUUCACUUCUUCAACAGCUGAGAUAAGCAUAUGCAAGAAAUUGUGUAGAGGAGUCCUAAGGGCAAAAAGAAAGGCGAUCUAUCUGGUGGCAGAAUGAAAACAUUACACAAUCUUGUGAAAAGUGUUCACUUUUACAGGACAUGAAUAUGAGAAGCUAUUUUGAGCUGAAGAGUCAAUAGAAGAGAUUUUGGAAGAAAUAGGAGAAAAUCAACAGGAUCUAAUGAUGAGGAUCAGAUGCUGUUUCUCCAGAUAGAAUUCAAU